GGGAGCUGCUGAGCUUCUGUGGGCCCAAGAGCACCCAGGUGUCUGUAAAGGAGAACAGCAGCCUGCACAAAGACAGCAACGUGUCUCUGGAGAUUCCUGCCCACACCGUCAUCGCUUACGGCAUUAUAGAGCUGGAGAUCAAACUCAACGGACACUAUGAGCUGUGCCUAAUGUC